rnacentral:lncRNA from 1 species
UGAAUGAUCCUCAAGGCAUUAGUGCUCAACCUGAAACAGAUGAACUCAACAUAAGCUCAGAAGACCACUAGGACUAGCCUAGGGUCAAAGAUGAAAGAAAAAAGUCAAGGCAGCAAGGAAAAGUCAACCCAAACCAAGUUUAAACAUUCAAGAAGCAUUCUCAAUUGGAUUCAUAAUUAUAUCAUGCAUCAUGGUCAUUUCAUAUGCAAAAGGAUGCAAAGCAUGGCAAGAGAAGCAUACAAAAGUCAACAGCAAAGACUUCAUUCAAAAGUCAACUCAAACAAUCUCAAAAA